GUUUUAAUAGUUUAAAUAAAAACAUCAGUUUUGUAAACCGAAAAUAAGAGCUAUUCUUUUAAAACA
rnacentral:tRNA from 1 species